rnacentral:rRNA from 1 species
GACGAACGCUGGCGGCGUGCCUAAUACAUGCAAGUCGAACGAGUGGCGGACGGGUGAGUAACACGUGGGACCCUACCCAUCAGAGGGGGAUAACGUCCGGAAACGGGCGCUAAUACAGCAUACUAUACGCUGAGCAUAGGUCGGAUUAGCUAGUUGGUGGGGUAAAGGCCUACCAAGGCGACGAUCCCUAGCUGGUCUGAGAGGAUGACCAGCAACAACGGAACUGAGACACGGUCCAGACUCCUACGGGAGGCAGCAGUGGGGAAUAUUGCACAAUGGGCGCAAGCCUGAGGCAGCCAUGCCGCGUGUAUGAAGAAGGCCUUCGGGUUGUAAAGUACUUUCAGCGGGGAGGCGUUACCCGCAGAAGAAGCACCGGCUAACGCCGGGCCAGCCGCCGCGGUAAUAC